AGCAGCCGCGGUAAUUCCAGCUCCAAUAGCGUAUAUUAAAGUUGUUGCAGUUAAAAAGCUCGUAGUUGAAUUUCGGGAUCAUCAGGUUGGUCGUGCCUCUGGUAUGUACUGAUUUCGAUGGUCCCUCCUUCUUGAAGAGCCGUAAUGCCAUUAAUUUGGUGUUGCGGGGAAUCAGGACUGUUACUUUGAAAAAUUAGAGUGUUUAAAGCAGGCAAUCGCUUGAAUACAUUAGCAUGGAAUAAUGAAAUAGGACGUUCGAUCCUAUUUUGUGGUUUCUAGGAUUGACGUAAUGGAUUAAUAGGGAUAGUUGGGGGCAUUAGUAUUCAAUUGUCAUAGGUGAAAUUCUUGGAUUUAUGAAGACUAACUACUGCGA
rnacentral:rRNA from 1 species